rnacentral:rRNA from 1 species
UACGGGGGGGGGCAAGCGUUGUUCGGAAUUACUGGGCGUAAAGGGCGCGUAGGCGGCCUACUAAGUCGGACGUGAAAUCCCUCGGCUCAACCGAGGAACUGCGUCUGAUACUGGAUGGCUUGAGAUUGGGAGAGGGAUGCGGAAUUCCAGGUGUAGCGGUGAAAUGCGUAGAUAUCAGGAAGAACACCCGUGGCGAAGGCGGCUUUCUGGGACGGUACUGACGCUGAGACGCGAAAGCGUGGGGAGCGAACAGG